rnacentral:rRNA from 1 species
UCCAGACUCCUACGGGAGGCAGCAGUGGGGGAUAUUGCACAAUGGGGGGAACCCUGAUGCAGCGACGCCGCGUGGGUGAAGGAGCGUUUCGGCGCGUAAAGCCCUAUCGGCAGGGAAGAAGGAGGACGGUACCUGACUAAGAAGCCCCGGCUAACUACGUGCCAGCAGCCGCGGUAAUACGUAGGGGGCAAGCGUUAUCCGGAUUUACUGGGUGUAAAGGGGGCGCAGACGGCGAUGCAAGCCAGGAGUGAAAGCCCGGGGCCCAACCCCGGGACUGCUCUUGGAACUGCGUGGCUGGAGUGCAGGAGGGGCAGGCGGAAUUCCUGGUGUAGCGGUGAAAUGCGUAGAUAUAAGGAGGAACACCGGUGGCGAAGGCGGCCUGCUGGACUGCAACUGACGUUGAGGCCCGAAAGCGUGGGGAGCAAACAGGAUUAGAUACCCUCGUAGAC